CCUACGGGGUGCAGCAGUGAGGAAUAUUGGUCAAUGGGCGCGAGCCUGAACCAGCCAAGUCGCGUGAGGGGAGACGGUCCUAUGGAUUGUAAACCUCUUUUGUCGGGGAGCAAAAGACGCCACGCGUGGCGUUCCGAGAGUACCCGAAGAAUAAGCAUCGGCUAACUCCGUGCCAGCAGCCGCGGUAAUACGGAGGAUGCGAGCGUUAUCCGGAUUUAUUGGGUUUAAAGGGUGCGCAGGCGGAAGAUCAAGUCAGCGGUAAAAUUGAGAGGCUCAACCUCAUCGAGCCGUUGAAACUGGUGUUCUUGAGUGAGCGAGAGGUAUGCGGAAUGCGUGGUGUAGCGGUGAAAUGCAUAGAUAUCACGCAGAACUCCGAUUGCGAAGGCAGCAUACCGGCGCUCAACUGACGCUCAUGCACGAAAGUGUGGGUAUCGAACAGGAUUAGAUACCCGAGUAGUC
rnacentral:rRNA from 1 species